rnacentral:rRNA from 1 species
GAACUAGCUAACUGAAAUCAAUUAAAAUAAUUGAUAACAUAAGGGAAAAUAAUGAUAUUACCUUAUUAUUAGUGUCGUCCAAAACUGGUGCCAGAAGACUCGGUAAGGCCAGAGACACAAACGUUAAUCGUCUUAAUCAGGCGUAAAGGGUUUGUAGGCGGCUUUUAAUUUACUUAUAAAUUUUUAAUAAAAUAAGUAAAGAAUAAAAGCUAGAAUCAAAUAGAGGAUAUAUUAAAUAAUGCUUAGAGUAGGUCUGAUAUCCUUAGAUACUAAGUAGAAUAUUAAAGGCGAAAGCUUUUUUCCAUAAAUGAUUGACGCUCAGAAACGAAGSUGAGGAUAGGAAAUAGGAUUAGAUACCCAAAAUACCCCUCUCUGUCAACGAUGAAUGGUAACUAUUAAUAAUAAUUUUAUUAYYGAUGGUAAUGYUAACACGAUAACCAWYSCKCCUURUGAGUACAMCUGCAA